UAUUUUCCAGCUGCUGUCUAACAGUCCAGUUAUGUGUGAAUUUAUGAACUCAGUCAUCUUAGAAAAAAAGGCAGGAUAAACCAAAGCACACAAUGUUGCUGCUAUAAACAACAGCUGAUGACAGUGUAACAAUGCCAAUCCAGCUGUGCCCUUUGGCCCUCAGUUUGCCUUCAUUUGGUGAAGAUUGUGUUGCUUGGAAAUAGCAUCUCAUAGGGCCAAAGUGUUGGUUUUUUCCCCCCUUUUGUCUUACUGCGAAUUCUAACCUGAAUUUACAUCUAAAUGAACUUUGCAAUUUAUAAGUAAAUUGGAAAGUUUAAUUACGAUAUCUUGUAAACAAGACAUUGCUUUAAAAAGUUCCUAAAAACUGCAGAAAGGCGGUUAUUUCCACCGGAGAAGCCGCCGCUAAGGCCUCAACUGGGGUGGCUGAAGAUCGGCCAGCUGGUGAGAGGUGAGGCGUGCUCUCUUCUAUCACUUUUUCUAUUUAACUGGCAGGUUUUCUUCACGUGACUUGAAUCCCAACUCGGAUCAAGCCGACCGGUACAGCUGUAGAGGAUGAGUUUGGUCACUUUUUGCUGUCUCUGCUACCCCCAUGUGGACGUCGUCAUCCUCUGUUUCAGCCUGGUCACCGUUCCACACCAUCUCUGCAGGUGGAUUUCCCAGAUCAGAGGCGCAAACCCGAUUUCCCCAUUAUUCUGGUGGGAACUCACCCUAACCUGCAUCACAAUGUGGACAUCCUUUGAUCUUCACCAACAUGGCUUCAGGCGAGCCAAGAGGCUUGCAGACAGAAUCAGAGCUCAAGACUAUGAGUGCUCAGCUCUGACACAGCGCAACCUCAAAGCUGUGUUUGGUUCUGUAUCUGCUAUCAAGCACAGACAUGAAAGUACUAAAUCUAGAAACAUAAACCCACUUAAACAAUUAAAAUCUUUUGUUGAUUGGAGAAA